rnacentral:miRNA from 1 species
ACUCUUGCAAUCAAACUUUCUU